rnacentral:rRNA from 1 species
AAACUCCGAAUACCGAGAAGUGCGAGCGUGGGAGACAGACAUCGGGUGCUAACGUCCGGUGUCAAGAGGGAAACAACCCAGACCGCCAGCUAAGGUCCCAAAUGACGUGCUAAGUGGUAAACGAAGUGGGAAGGCAUAGACAGCCAGGAUGUUGGCUUAGAAGCAGCCAUCAUUUAAAGAAAGCGUAAUAGCUCACUGGUCGAGUCGUCCUGCGCGGAAGAUGUAACGGGGCUAAGCACGUAACCGAAGCUGCGGAUCUACAGUUUACUGUAGGUGGUAGGAGAGCGUUCUGUAAGCCUGUGAAGGUGUCUUGAGAAGGAUGCUGGAGGUAUCAGAAGUGCGAAUGCUGACAUGAGUAGCGAUAAACAAGGUGAAAGUCCUUGUCGCCGAAAACCCAAGGUUCCUACGCAACGUUCAUCGGCGUAGGGUGAGUCGGCCCCUAAGGCGAGGCAGAAAUAGCGUAGUCGAUGGGAAACAGGUUAAUAUUCCUGUACCGAUUUGGAAUGCGAU